AGCACGGGAGCAAUCCUGGUGGCGAGUGGCGAACGGGUGAGUAAUAUAUCGGAACGUGCCCAGUCGUGGGGGAUAACGUAGCGAAAGCUACGCUAAUACCGCAUACGAUCUAUGGAUGAAAGCGGGGGAUCGCAAGACCUCGCGCGAUUGGAGCGGCCGAUAUCAGAUUAGCUAGUUGGUGGGGUAAAAGCCCACCAAGGCGACGAUCUGUAGCUGGUCUGAGAGGACGACCAGCCACACUGGAACUGAGACACGGUCCAGACUCCUACGGGAGGCAGCAGUGGGGAAUUUUGGACAAUGGGCGAAAGCCUGAUCCAGCAAUGCCGCGUGCAGGACGAAGGCCUUCGGGUUGUAAACUGCUUUUGUACGGAACGAAACGGUCUCUUUUAAUACAGGAGGCUAAUGACGGUACCGUAAGAAUAAGCACCGGCUAACUACGUGCCAGCAGCCGCGGUAAUACGUAGGGUGCAAGCGUUAAUCGGAAUUACUGGGCGUAAAGCGUGCGCAGGCGGUUAUAUAAGACAGACGUGAAAUCCCCGGGCUCAACCUGGGACCUGCAUUUGUGACUGUAUAGCUAGAGUACGGUAGAGGGGGAUGGAAUUCCGCGUGUAGCAGUGAAAUGCGUAGAUAUGCGGAGGAACACCGAUGGCGAAGGCAAUCCCCUGGACCUGUACUGACGCUCAUGCACGAAAGCGUGGGGAGCAAACAGGA
rnacentral:rRNA from 1 species